rnacentral:tRNA from 1 species
UCCUCGAUAGCUCAACGGCAGAGCGAGCGGCUGUUAACCGUUAGGUUCCUGGUUCGAAUCCAGGUCGAGGAG